UACGGAGGGGGCUAGCGUUGUUCGGAAUUACUGGGCGUAAAGCGCGCGUAGGCGGCUUUGUAAGUUAGAGGUGAAAGCCCGGAGCUUAACUCCGGAACUGCCUUUAAGACUGCAUCGCUAGAAUUGUGGAGAGGUGAGUGGAAUUCCGAGUGUAGAGGUGAAAUUCGCAGAUAUUGGGAAGAACACCGGUGGCGGAAGGCGACCAACUGGUCCGACAUUGACACUGAGGCACGAAAGCGUGGGUAGCAAACAGG
rnacentral:rRNA from 1 species